AGAGUUUGAUCCUGGCUCAGGACGAACGCUGGCGGCAUGCCUAAUACAUGCAAGUCGAGCGGAAUGAUGAGAGCUUGCUCUCUGAUUUUAGCGGCGGACGGGUGAGUAACACGUGGGCAACCUGCCCUACAGAUGGGGAUAACUCCGGGAAACCGGGGCUAAUACCGAAUAAUCAGUUUGUCCGCAUGGACGAACUCUGAAAGACGGUUUCGGCUGUCACUGUAGGAUGGGCCCGCGGCGCAUUAGCUAGUUGGUGGGGUAAUGGCCUACCAAGGCGACGAUGCGUAGCCGACCUGAGAGGGUGAUCGGCCACACUGGGACUGAGACACGGCCCAGACUCCUACGGGAGGCAGCAGUAGGGAAUCUUCCACAAUGGACGAAAGUCUGAUGGAGCAAUGCCGCGUGAGCGAAGAAGGUUUUCGGAUCGUAAA
rnacentral:rRNA from 1 species